rnacentral:rRNA from 1 species
AUUAGUAUAUCUUUGACAGGGGAUAUCAUGCGAAAGCAUAUUAGGAAUUAAAUUUCUUAGAGGGACAACUUUUAGAUAGUCCUCCCAGCGGUAUAUGAGUACUAACCGUACUUUUUAUUUCUGGAGGGAUUAAUGAAAGGGAAGCGUUCAGCAAUAACAGGUCUGUGAUGCCCUUAGACAUCUUGGGCCGCACGCGCGCUACAAUGGAAGAAGAAAAGAGUUUAGUCAAGGAAUUAUUUCAUUUGGUUCUGCCAAGUGGAGUGAUUUCUAAAAAAUGGACACAAGAAUUUUUGACUAGCCGAUAUUUAAAAACGGAGGAAAACUCAAAACUUUGGACAUGUUCUGGGAUAGAUGAUUGUAAUUAUUUGUCUUUAACCAGGAAUUCCUUGUAAUACCAUGUCAUUAGCAUGGGAUGAAUACGUCCCUGCCCUUUGUACACACCGCCCGUCGCUCCUACC